GACUACUUACUCAGCCAACAGGGAAUACCAGCACUGCAAAGAUGGAAGCUUUCACAGGAAUAAAGAAGUAGGAGCCUCAGACAGUCCACUGACUAUUAUCCACUGCUGUUGUUUCAUGUGGGCACCAAUGAUACAGCCAGGAGCAGUCUGAGGAGCAUCAAGAAGGACCACAGAGCCCUGGGAGUGGCAGAAGGACUCUGGAGCACAGGAUGUUGGUGCCAAGGAGCCCUUGCACAGCAGACAUGGCUUAAAAAUUUGCUUUCCUGAAGUAGUUCUACUAAUGAUUGAUGGGGUGGACAGACCAUCU
rnacentral:lncRNA from 1 species